rnacentral:hammerhead_ribozyme from 1 species
GCACUGCUGAAGAGUCCCGCGCUGGGGCGAAACGGCCGUCCAGUGC